UCUUGGCCCAAGGAGACCUUCAAGCAGUUGUGAUAAUAUUUGAGAAGCUGAGGCAGACGUUCCAUCUUGCUAAAGAUGUCCACUGCUAACGUUUCUUGCUGCAGGAGUUGAGUGUCUCUUAAAAUUCUUGGUAAGCUGGAGAGAACCGAUUGACUGGUCUCCUCUAAGGCACCGUUAACUUGUUGCACAUACAAUUGCAACUUCAUCACUAAUGAUGACACAAAAGCCUGCAAAGCAUACUCAGCUGCGACUCAAAUGUUUUCCAAGACGGUUGUUCGUAUUCUCAUAAAAAUUAUCAAAUAAUUCACAUAUAAUAAAUAACAGACAGAAUGUGAGAUUAAAGUGCAAUUUAAAAUAUAUCUUAUUAUAUUACUCAAAUAUAAUAAAUUGCUCUAUUUCCUUAUCAUUACUCUAUAAAUAUGGGAAUCACUUUAUUUAAUUCACAAUGAAAUUGAAAUUUAAGUUGCGAAAGAUAACGUUAUCGUUCAAUAACAAAUAUUUGCGUAAUAAUUUAUUCUAAAUACGAAAAUAUACGCGGGUGUCGGAAUAGACAGUAAAAGUUUAUUGUCCGUCGGUAACGUUCCGACAUAAUUUUCGGCGUGAUAGAUCCGCGAGCCUAUAAAAAUAUCAUCCCCCGGAGGGGCCGAAAACCCUCGCGGUGGUGCGAAACAGUGGACAUCAUCUUUGAAAAGAGCCGAUCGGGGUCACCGACCGCCGCCGCGGGCGGGUGGAAGCCGUCAGUACGGCGGCCGACGGGCGUCGCGACGACGAGCGUGUCUUCGGAUCCGACGGGCGACGGGACGUGAAGCGGACGGGAGCGGAGAUGGUGGCCCGCGCGACUUACGUCCUUGUUCUCCUGCGCCUCGGCGGACUUGAACGUCCGGUUGAUCCACUCCUUCACGUCGAAGCUGUCCUCGGAGAACGCGGCGACGUCCUGAAACGGCCAUUUUGAGAAUACGCUCGUGCACAUCGAGGAGGAGGCGGCCACUUGGUUGGACGUGACCACCGCCGCCGCUGCCGUCGUCGCCGCCGUCGCCCUCCUUCUUCCUCCCCCUUGGCGCGAUCUGGAGUCCCGCGUUCCCGACUGGAGCGAGGCGCGUUCCUCGUUUGUUCUGCGGCUGGCGAGGCUGGCUUCCUACUCCGCAGGUGGUGCGUAACGAGGCGGCGAAAAAAAGAUCGGGGGGAGAAACAGACGGGGAGAUAAAGAGAGAGUGAGGGGGGGGAGGGAAAUGGAAAACGGCGCGUUAUCGGCCGUUUCCGAGCCCUUUGUCGAUCGCCACGCCUUCGAGGCUGCGUUUGCGCCACGUUAUUUGCGCAACAGUUGGAAGCUGGAAUUUCGUCUCCCCGAAAAUCACCCCCGCACGCGGCCCAAGUAAGGAAGGGAGAGAAGGACGCGGACGCGCCGCGCUGCCUUCCCGUUUCCCGCCGUCGUCGGACGAGGGCCCAGGAGCAGGAGCGACGACUCCACUCGCUGGCUGGCUGGCACCACCGCCGCCACCCGCCCUCGCCACCACUACCAUCACCGGACUCCCCUCGCCCUUCCGUCGCCUUUUGCAAGAGGGCCGACCGUCGUCGACAGUCCGUGAAUCGUGCGCACACACAUGGCCGAUUGCCGUACGUUACAUGCACUUAUACGGGGUGUACCCGAAGACGCGCGCCUUCCUUCCUUAGUGGCUAAGAAGCGAGACGAUGGUUGCGGUCGGUUUCGAGGCAUUCCGUCAUUACUAGGCUAACGUGCCCGGAAAAUUAACAAUCUAGCGUCCGCUAGUUGUAAAGUCAGAUUUGAGGCUCGACGAUCGUAGAGUCGUUAACUUCAUCGUUAGAUUAAGAUCGAGGUAGUAUAAGAGAGUUGGAGAAAAAAAAGUUAUGAUAAAAUCAGAAUUUAAUCGAGAUCGCGAAUGAUAAAGGACAGCCUCGAGCAGGAAGAAAGUCCGCGAUUUCCGGAACAUCCCGUAUAACCGCGUCACAUCCUUGUAUCGUUUCAUACGCUAAAUUUAACGACUGACCCGAUCAAUUAACGAGGCUCGGACGCGAAGGCGUAGUUGCGUGGCAACGCUCGUUCCAAUUUUCUUCACGUAGCGUCAUCUCCAUCUCGCGGAUAUGCUACGCGUGUAAAUUUUUCGCCGAUCUUUCCUCAUGAAAUUCCAUCGGUAGAUCGAGAUUCAAUUUCGCCACGAUCGUCUCACGCAACACGCCGCUUCGCGCCACGCACCUCGAAGGUGAAUCCGAUGCACCCAUGCAGAGAUCCCACUUUACGCAUUGUUAAACGACGCCUUUUACAAAAUUAUGCGAACUCCCCGGAAUCAAAAAAGUGAUCUGGCCUACUAUUAUGCAUCAAUAUACCGAUCGGACACGUUGCGACAAAAUUUAUAAGAUCUUUUUUUUUUAUCGACCUACACUCCAAUCUGGCAUCGUAGAUUAAUGAUCAGCUUGCCAUCCCCGGUCGUUACUGUCGACACGUAAAUCGACACGCGGAUGAUAGAUAGUAAGGAACUCGUGAAAAAAAAGACUGCCUAUAAGAAUGGCAGACUCCCUUCUCCUCCCAUCCUAUUGCGAGACUGCCGUCUAUCCCGUGCGGCUCGGACUAAACAAUGAACAUUCUUAUAGCGUUUUCGACUGGACCGGAUUGAGUCGCUCUUAGAGCGAUUAAUGACGUCUGUCAUAAAUUCUGUCUUAGGUUGAUGAUUAGAUGAAUAAUCAAAACCCAACCCAUAUUCGACUUAUACAGUUGCAUCUAGCAUUCUAGCUAAAAGUCUCGACUAGACUUUAUAAUAGGUAUUGGUCCAGGCAAUCUUAUGCUAUGCAUAUACAACUAUUUUGAGAGGGCCCUUAUUUUGUAACUGGUACCUAAUCCAGAUUCAUUUCCGGUCAAACACAUGGUCAUAGUAAAUUGGAUCGAAUCGCUCUGCGAGCCCGAUUCAACCCGGUCCAGUCGAAAACUCUAUUAAAUGUUCCUUGAAUGUCUUGUACGGCACAUUUGUAUCCAGCGAACAUUCUGAAUGUUUAGAAUUCUUUAAUAUCCGUCGAUAUGCCGACGAACUUUAAAAACUUUAUGCAAUUUAUAGUAAUUUGCGAAGCGACAUUUCUAUCUUUGAACAUUCAGAAGAGUCCCGAGGUAAUCUUGGGACGAGUUCGCGCUGGAUAUCCGUGAAUGUCGCACCCGCUCGGCGAUGCCGAUCGACGGAGUCGCGCGGCCGUUCCUCCGUCAAUCGGGCCGUGAGAGACCCGGCAAUUCCGCCGCUUCUUCGGCGCCGCGCCAUUCGACAAUCCGAUCGAAGCGCCAGCA